AAGUCGUAACAAGGUCUCCGUAGGUGAACCUGCGGAAGGAUCAUUACAAAUAAAGCUGGUAGGAAGUGGGAGUUCUUGAUCUAGUGAAGUGGUAGAAGCGACCGAGUCCGGCCUGCCUCCCGAAAUGUCUUACAUGUCCCCCACAGCCUGAAGGCCGAAUUACAACCCUUGAUUAUCUACACUUGCUUGCUUUGGGGUGCUCAAGUGCCCCCAGAGGACCCAACUCUCUUGCAUUUAGUGACGUCUGAGUACUAUAUAAUAUUUAAAA
rnacentral:misc_RNA from 1 species